CGAGCGAGCAAAAAUUUGUCUCGAGCGAGCAAAAGUUUGUCUCCGCGAGGUAUUUGCUCGCUUGUGAAACGUGAACUUCGUUGCUCGUGAGGAGAAUCUCUGCUCGCGCUCGAAGUAGUUUUCUACGCGCUCGCUGUUGUUCUUUUUGACAGUAAGGUGGAGACGGUGCUUUCAGGGUCCGGUCGAUGAGAGGCACAAAAUCUUAAUUUCCACCAGGCUGAUUGCAUUGUAUAUGGUUGAUUUAACAGAAUUUAGGGAGUGUGUUAUUUAUUUCAAACCGUGCUCUGCUGAGAGUUUUUAUUAUUUUGAUUUAAUUUCUUUUACUUUUAGCCUACUUUUAUUUUCUGUCUUUGCACUGCUGACUAGCCUGAAUAAAAUAGACAGGUUAUUGUCUAUGCUGGUUUGUCUAGCCUUUAUUGAGCUCUGUUGGUUGAGCAUGAUGUUUAGACAGUGUUUUGUUAUUGUCUUUGCCGAAUAUUGCAAAAUAAAGGUGUAACUGUUUUUGCAAUUUAGCUACUCUCUUUUCUACUCUCUAAGGUUUAAUUAUUAUUUAAGUAAUUUUUUUUCUACAAAAAACUAGGCCCACCCACUUUUUCACUGGCCCGCCCAAAAUACAAUUUCUGCCUAAGCCCCUGCUGCUCGCGCACAAAGGAGUUUUCUACGCGCUCGCUGUUGUUCUUUUUGACAGUAAGGUGGAGACGGUGCUUUCGGGGUCCGAUCAAUGCUGCGAGGUGGGUCUGGAUUAGGAUUGAAGGAUUAGGGAUGAAUGAGGUUCAUACAUUUUGUUCGUCCGGCGGUGCUGCAGCUUCAUUAUGCUACUUGAUAUUGUGCUUUGCUCCACGCUUUGCUCCCCCCCUCCAAGUUCUUACACCUGCUUUAGCUUUGUUUUUUUUGUCUUCGACACUGGGUUGUCCCCCAAUAGUUUUGUUUGCGUUUCAGAACGUUAACUUUACACACUCUUUGUUGUCAUUGUGGACAGUGAGGAAGUUAUGUAACGGAGGUGUCAUAAAACUCUGCACUGUUUGAGAAGAAAACGCCAGGUCUCUGAACUUAAGAAAGAACAGCCAAGGCCCUUGAGUUUUUACUACACGAGCCAGACGCGCAGGUUCAGAUGCUCGCAGUUUGUUUUAUGAUGUCAGGCCUUAAACUGCAGAUACUUCAGCUGAGCUCGCAGGGGCAUAAUCUCCAGCUGGAAAGCUUUCUCGGGCCCUGGUGUUGCCCUUCACCUGGGUGAGGCGUGGAAAGUUGGCAGGAGACUGGAGUUUCAGCAACAUCAAUACUCUUCCUGCCACCAGGUUUGUUUUAUGUCUCUCUGCGUCGGCGGGCACUUGAGGGGUGGACAAUUUGUUUAGGCAGCUGAAGAUGGAACUGUGUGUAGCGGAGGAUUAUGAGAUCGCCGGGUGAUUUGUGGGUGGGAUCUUCUCAGAGGCCCCCGGCUGAAAUAUCCAACACUUGCUUUGGUGUUAAAUUAUGAUACCUAAACCAUAAAUAUUCUGCAUUAAGACCCCCAGCGUUCCACGUUUGAGAACAGAUAGUUUGUCUUUCUGUUCUUACUCCCCCCGUGAGUGGCUGAAUUUGUCCCACAUUCCUUUGUGAAAAACACUUAAUGAGUCAGUGAAACCAGGGAUUUUAUUCUUCCUCUGUUGCGCACACAUCUUCGCAGCGCGGUUUACAUCUUAAUAAUGUACUCCAGACCAUAAUUUAAUUCACCACAGCAGUGUGAAACACACACCGAGAAGGAAUCUCGCCACAGCAAAAAUUGGAGUGUUGAAAUUUCAGGGUUAAAAAUUUCCGAGUUGAUUUUCACUCCCUGAGUGUAAUUUUAACACAUUCUGAUUUAAAUGGUGUUCAGUGUUGGAGUUAUUUGGCAGAGUUGAUCAUGUCAGUGUUAACCCAACUCCGCAGAGACGUAAUUAAGCUCCGCCCACGCCUUUCACCUCUUCGGUUAGAGACAGAGAAGACAAGUCUGCGCCAUUUUCUACCUCUCAUGCAGUACUACACGGUAAGUGCAAUUAAGUUAAACUCACUGAAACAAUUAAAAAUUGAUGCUGAGAAUUUCAGUAUGAACAAUUAAAUAUCUACAGAGAAUAUAUGCCUUACACAGCCGUGUUUGUUGCCAGGACUGAACAGUACAUUUGUCCUCGUGGUUAGCUAGCUAGUUAGCAGUGUACGGUAAGCUAGCUAACAGUUUGUUACUAAAACUAUCUCCAACUUUAUCAAUAAUGAUUUAACAAUUCAUAGGCAUACUCAAAGGUAGGAAAUACAAAGCAUUAUGAUUUUUAACUAUAUAAAAUCUUGUUUGAGGCUGGAGCUAACGUUUUUUUUUCCUCUUUGAAGAUCAAAGGGACCGCAAAAAACGUGUCCCAACAUGCAGACGGUGUUUCACGUGUCUAGUUCACGUGUCUAGCUAUCCAUCAGAUUCUAUGACCUGCAGUGUUGGAAAAAGUACUCAUUUACUUAAGUAAAAGUAUUCAAAAUGCUGGUCCAGGUGAAGUACAGCCAACAGCAGAAGUAUGUAAAGUUGGAUGAGGAUGAAGGACUGUUUGACUUUCUGCAAUUCCAUGAAAAAGUCAUGGAGAGAUUUGGCCUGCCACCUGAUGCAAAUGUUAUAUACAAGGAUGCAACAGGGACAGAAGUUGAUGCAGAAAUAUUCAGCGACCUCGUUGGACAAGGCAAUGUGGUCCUGACAGUUUUCUCAGAUCAGGAAUUCUCUGAUUUCUCCUUGUCUUCUGAGACGUCUGACUCAAGCUUCAGCUCAAGUGCAUCAACUAUAAUCCUAGAUGUUCCGAACAAGAGACAAAGAAUUGAGGAUACACGUGAUGCUGUGUCUGCUAAACAGUUGAUAGAAGCUGUGCUAAGAGGCAAGUCCGGAGGUGAAGAAGUACUACAGGAGUACCAAACAACAGAAACCCAGAUGCUGCAAGAAGACAAAUGGUUAAUAUCCUGGUGGCUCACAUGAUUGACAAUCAUGGGCACUAAAACAAUCAGAGAAGAUUAUGCACGUGGGAUAGUGAUGCUGUUCCCUUCCCUUAAGGAUCCAUACUCCAAGAAGGGCUAUGAACACUUCUAUGAUGCUGCAAGCAGCACAGGAUACAUUUCUUGGCGUCUGAAAACAGUCCAGAGGAAGAUUCGUCAAGUAUCUGCACAGCCACCAAAAAGCCCAAUUGACUUUUCUCCAGUAGGCCCAAAUUGCCAAAGGACUGUUAAUGUUGAAGGGCAGCUUGAUGGUGAUGCUUGCCAAGAGGCCAUGUCUUUGCUUAACCAUGCAGCAGACAAUUCCCUGAUUUUCCAGAAGAUGAGAGAGACCUUUCAGCAUCGUCAGAAGCUUGUUAAUGACCCAGGCAGAAGUGUUGAUAUACUCUCCAACUUCCCAAGAUUUCUGGAUACAAAAGGAUUGGUGGAACAAGACUUCACUCUCCUAUUUGACGAAGACACAUCAUCCAGGCUUCUUCAGAAAUGGGAUUUGUUCUUCAAGCCAAAUGUCAUUAAAGAGGCUAAGCGGCUCACCUCAACACCAGAGUUGCGUCGCUUGGUGCAGUCAGCAGAAAGUCCCCCAGGAAGUGAUCUUGAUGAGGCAACAACCUACGACCAAGAAAUGGCCUCCCUGUUGUUGCUGUUACAUCUCCUUCCACCACCUCCAGGGGGACUGAAGUCUCCAAAAAUUAGUGCAUGUGAUGCAGUUGAAAGACUUGUUGUCUUUCAUAAGUCAUGCUGCAGUUUGGAGGAGCAUCUCCGCAACCAGCAGGGUCGGCAGCCGUACCUCCUCGCUGUUGGGCGUCAGAAGAGCAAGAUUGACAGCUUCUACGUCACCAUGGAUAAGCGUCUCAUCCCAUGCAAGGCAAACCGCUCCCUCGGGGCAUGUGAUGAACUUUUCAAAGCACAUUAAAUUUGUCUUACGAUGUGGCACUUGUGAAUUUUUAUACAUUCCUGCAGACAACAGUGUAUAACAUUGAUGUGGGGAAAAUGAAGGAGUCACCCAGAGUUAAAGACUUGAGAGCAAGACUGCUUAACCAGCAAGUAGCAUUCUCACCCUGUGAGUAAGAAGCUAUAACAAUGCUGACCUGUUUCAUGUGUCAGAAAAAUUAUCCCAGCAGUCAGCAGUUGAUUUCACAUUUAAGAGUUGAACAUGGUUACUAUCCUGGACCCAAGUUCAAAUUGUUUUGUUCUCAGCAAUGCUGUAGGCAUCAGUUCCUAACAUAUGCAGGUUUUCGAAAGCACCGUAAUAGUGUUCAGAGCAUUUUUCAGCAAACUCAAACUUCAACUGUUGCAUGUUCAUCUAGUGAGCCAGUUGCAACUUCAUCUCAGGCACAUACUUUGGAGGACCAAUUUAUUCCACAAAAUCAAUGUAGUUCUUCCAGUAUUUCUUCUGAGGCCAAUGAUUCAGGACUUACUAAAGAUCCAACUAAAGAAAUGUGUGCAUCCAUCGUGGCCAAAUUACAGGGGAGUGGGAUAUCCAACAGUUUGGUAUCCUCAAUUGUAGGAGAUUUGGAAGAACUAACGAGUGAACUUCGCUCACAAGCAAAGCAUACAGCUAUUUCUGCUUUACCUAUAACUGACCCCAACAUAUCUGUGAUAAAUGAAUCUUUUGAAGAUUAUGAAAAUCCGUUUUCAAAUCUGAACACAGAAUGGAAACGAAAUAAAUACUUCCACCAAAAAUGGGGAGUUGUUGAGCCAGUAGAAAUAACACUGGGAGUGAGAUAUGACAACAGGCGAAAUCAGAAAUCCGGUACUUAUGAUCAAGUACCUGUGAAGGAUACUUUUAUCUAUGUGCCAAUUUUAGAAACAUUGAAGUUCAUGUGCAGAAAUCCAGACAUUUGUGUUUUGCUAAAGAAGGAGUGUAGAUCAGAGCCUGACACUUAUACUGACUUUUUUGGUGGAAGUUAUUUUAAAACCCACCCUUUGUUUACAGCUAAUAAACAUGCAUUGCAAAUUCAACUAUACUAUGACGAUUUUGAAACAGCCAAUCCCCUUGGCUCCAAACGUGGAAUACACAAAAUUGGCUGUCUUUAUUUUGUUGUAAGAAAUUUGCCCCCAAAAUUUAAUUCGGUUUUGAUGAACAUUCAUUUGGUAUCACUUUUUCACACACAAGAUCUGCGCAAGUAUGGUUUUGAUGUUAUACUAGAACCGUUGAUAAAUGAUGUGAAAAAACUAGAAAGCCAAGGGCUAAGUCUUCCAUUUGUAGAUGAGCAGGUAUAUGGUACAAUCUGUCAGAUUACUGGAGAUAAUCUAGGGAUGCACACAAUUCUUGGUUUUAAUGAGUCAUUUAGUAGCCGUCAUUUCUGUUGCCUUUGUUUGAUUGAGAAGAAUGAUUGUCAAACGGUAUACAGUGAGGAUGAUCCUAAAGUGAUCCUUCGUGGAAAAGAUAUGUUUGAUAUGCAUUGCCAGUCUCUCCAGGAAAACCCACAAUUUAAGUCACUUUAUGGUUUGAAAAAAAGAUCUGCACUUAAUUCAUUGAAGUAUUUCCAUGUUUGCAAUAACUAUUCAUUUGAUAUCAUGCAUGAUCUUCUUGAGGGUGUGGUUCAGUAUGAGAUCAAAUUGCUUUUUGGAUAUCUCACACAACACUUUAUGUCAGAACAAGACUUGCUUUCCAGGAUUUAUGGUUUUGAUUAUGGAUUUUUAGAACGAAAAAAAUCGUCCUACAAAGAUUAUUUUGGAGAGUGCUGGCAAUGGCAUUGGUUUGAAUUCUAUUCAGACAUUGUGUCUUGUGAAAAACAUCCCACUGUUGUUUGGUGAAAUUAUUCCUGCAGGAAACAAAAACUGGAAUUGGUUACUGUUGUCAAAUAAUGAACAUAGUUUUUUCACCUUCUCUCACUCUAGGUAUGACAAUAUAUUUAAAGCAUUUGAUUGUUGACCACCACAAACUAUUUAAGCACUUGUAUCCACAUAGAAACGUGAUACCUAAGCAUCAUUUUAUGAUCCAUUACCCAUCUUCUAUAAGGAAAAUUGGCCCCUUAUUAUAUACGUGGUGUAUGAGGUUUGAGGCCAAACACAAGCUGUUUAAAGAUUCUUUAAAAAAUUUCAAAAACAUAACCAAAUCGCUUGCUAUAAAGCAUCAGAUGGCCAUUGCUUAUCACUGGGAAACCUUCACCCUCAAAAAAAAUGAGUAUGGGCCCAUUAAAUCUUUUCUCUUCAGAGAUGAGAAUGUGGUCAACAAUGAAAUGCUUGAAACAAUCUUGUCAAAAGAUGUUUUCUCAACUAGUUGGGUUAAAGUUGAUGGUGUAGAGUAUAAAGCUGGACUAGUUAUUUGCAGUGCAAUGGAAGAAGACAUGCCAGUCUUUUGUCAAAUAAGUGAUGUACUUUUGGUUGAAGAUCACUUAUUUUUUUUGACAAACAAGCUAUUUACAGAGAAUUUUGAUGACCAUCAUCAUGCAUUCAGAGUAUUACGAAGUGCGGAAAGAUGUUUACUAAAAAUGUCUUAGCUUAAAUUUCAAAAACCGUUUGAUAUUCAAAGCUCAUACAAUGUUUCGGAUGAAAGUUUGUACAUUAUACCUUCAUUCACAAUGUUUUAAUUCAACUGACUGCAAGGGAGAAAAG
ensembl:lncRNA